rnacentral:rRNA from 1 species
CCUACGGGAGGCAGCAGUAAGGAAUAUUGGUCAAUGGACGCAAGUCUGAACCAGCCAUGCCGCGUGAAGGAUUAAGGUCCUCUGGAUUGUAAACUUCUUUUAUCUGGGACGAAAAAAGGCGAUUCUUCGUCACUUGACGGUACCAGAUGAAUAAGCACCGGCUAACUCCGUGCCAGCAGCCGCGGUAAUACGGAGGGUGCAAGCGUUAUCCGGAUUCACUGGGUUUAAAGGGUGCGUAGGCGGGCAGGUAAGUCAGUGGUGAAAUCCUAGAGCUUAACUCUAGAACUGCCAUUGAUACUAUCUGUCUUGAAUAUUGUGGAGGUAAGCGGAAUAUGUCAUGUAGCGGUGAAAUGCUUAGAUAUGACAUAGAACACCUAUUGCGAAGGCAGCUUACUACGCAUAUAUUGACGCUGAGGCACGAAAGCGUGGGGAUCAAACAGGAUUAGAUACCCUGGUAGUCCACGCCCUAAACGAUGAUUACUCGACAUUGUGAUACACUAUAAGUGUGUGAGNGAAGAGAUUAAGUAAUACCUACCGUUACGGAAGUACGACCGACCGAAGGUUAGUUAACGUUACGAAGGAAGUUAGACGGACGNGAGACGAGCGACGGACGACGACGAGGGAGGAGG